UAUGAGUCUCAGAUGACUCUUAAGGAAGGGGAGUGGUUCUGAGAACCACAUCAUUUUUUUCUCUUACUUGGAGUUAAGAUCACAGAGAUUCCCACCACUGUUGUCAGAAUGUCUUCCCGAGGUCUACAAAGAUCCACAUUCCUUGAUGGCCACAAUCCGCUGGUUGUCAUUGGUUGUAAGAGAACCCUGAUAGAUACAGAACAGUUGUAAGGGGAACCAUAAUAAGUAUGGAAACUCUGGUAUAUAGUGUAGAAGACUGCAGCCAAUUAGAAGGGAAGAGGUUUCAUAUUCCGAGGAUGUGGCUCUUGGCUAGUGUGGCACUCCUCCUGAUGGAUAGAGAUGUUCGUAGCUCCCUGUAUUUGCUGCUACUCAGACA
rnacentral:lncRNA from 1 species